rnacentral:lncRNA from 1 species
GUAACUUACACAGCAUCCAGAAUGUUAAAGAGUUUCUGGAGUCGGCUACUAAUCUAUGUAAACAAUUUGGUAAGCUUAAAACAAAUUACUUUAUUGAUUUGUUAGUAAAAUUCCAGGAUAAUUUUUAAACUAUUAUUAUAAUGUUGAAUACUGCCUUAUACAUGUAUACUGUUAUAAUGCAAAACUAAAUCAAAUAUUUGUAACAAUACAUAAAGCACUUAUAUCAUUUGACAUGCUGUAAAAGGACCAAAAACAAGAUGUCUGAAGAAACAUGUCUUUUUCUAAAUAUUUCACAAAAAAAUACUAAUUGAAGAAUUCCCAAUAUUUCAUCAUUUUCAUAGCUGGUAUACAUGGUAUAUGCAUUAUAGCAUAAAAUAACGGGCAUUAAAAAAAAUGUAAGAAAUUUUAUAUUUGCUUUUAAAACAAAAUAUAUUAACUAAAAUUAUUUCGAUUAUAGAAAAUAUUUUAAUUAAAUUUUACUUUCAGUCCUGAAGAUUGCUAAAUUAAACACCUCAAUUGCCGGUAACACAACGAAAGUGGAUGGUUUCGUACGUAAAGAUUUGCUCUCUCAGAAAACAUUUAAAAAACGAAAGAUUCAAUUCGAAGUACCUUGCACAUGUCAACUGAACACAAGACCAAUUAUCCUUCUAACAAAUCUGAAAGAUUAUAGCAAACUUUUGAGAUUAGGUGACGGUAACCUAAUUAUUCCAUGGAGCAAAAGAGCAAGCAAUUACCUU